AGGAAAAGAAAGAAGAAAAAAAUGGAAAGGUCAGGAGUUCGAGACUAACCUGACCAACAUGGAGAAACCCUAUCUCUACUAAAAAUACAAAAUUAGCUGGGCAUGGCGGUACAUGCCUGUAAUCCCAGUUACUCAGGAGGCUGAGGCAGGAGAAUCACUUGAACAUAGGAGGCAGAGGUUGCAGUGAGCCGAGAUUGUGUCAUUGUACUCCAUCCUGGGCAACAAGAGUGAAACUCCAUCUCAAAAAAAAAAAAAAAAAAAAAAAAAUCUUUAAGGUAAAUCAAACAAAAUAAUUUCCAUAUCAAGCCAAAAAU
rnacentral:lncRNA from 1 species